rnacentral:rRNA from 1 species
AUGGAACGUGUCAAGGGGUUCCCUAGCCGCUGCCUCAAGAUGCUAGCCCGAUGGCUCUGCCCGGGGGCUGACGACGAUCACGCCGCCAUAGCCCAGAGGCUCGGCAUGCUGCCCAAAUCCGAGGUCGAUCACGCCGACGACCUAGCCCAAUGGGUCGAGGACGAGCGCGCCGCCAUAGCCCAGUGGGAGGAGGCCGAGCGCGCCGCCGCCCGCGACAGCCUGCAGGCCUUCACCCUCCGCCUGAACAAGCGCCUCGCCGCCGGCGCCGGCAGGAGCGGCAACCUGGUCUUCUCGCCGCUGUGCCUCUACGCGGCGCUCUCGCUGUGGGCCACCGGCGCGCGCGAGCGCACCCUCAACGAGCUGCUCGGCGUCCUCGGAGUGCCUUCGCGGGACGUCCACACCUUCCACGUCUGCACGCUGGCCCGGCAGGCCCUCACCGACCGGCCCCGGACGGGCGGCCCGCGCGUCAGCUUCGGGUGCGGCGUGUGGCACGACGCCACCGUGCCCCUCCGCCCCGCCUUCCGCGACGUUAACUUCCACCGACAGCCGGAGGAGGCAAGGGAGCAGAUCAAUGCAUGGGUGGCGGCGUUGACGAACGACCUCAUCCCCACCCUGAUUGGCCGUGAUGCGUUGUCCCACCUCACCGACCUGGUGCUCGUCAACACCAUCUACUUCAAGGCCAAGUGGAACAAGUCAUUCGAUGAGGAACGCCAUCUGUUUCACCGCCUUGAUAACAUCGCCAUCGACACGCCCUUCAUGCGUGGCUUCGGUAGGCAAAGAAUCGCGUGGCACAAUGGCUUCAAGGUGCUCCAGCUGCGCUACGAGCAAGGUCGCCCCUUGCCCGUGCAGUCGCAGCCACAGCCGACCUACUCAAUGUGUGUCUUCCUCCCUGACGUGCGCGAUGGGCUGUGUUGGUUGGCCAGCCAGAUCGCCUGA